AAAGCGUGCGCAGGCGGUUCUAUAAGACGGAUGUGAAAUCCCCGGGCUCAACCUGGGAACUGCAUUUGUGACUGUAGAGCUGGAGUGCGGCAGAGGGGGAUGGAAUUCCGCGUGUAGCAGUGAAAUGCGUAGAUAUGCGGAGGAACACCGAUGGCGAAGGCAAUCCCCUGGGCCUGCACUGACGCUCAUGCACGAAAGCGUGGGGAGCAAACAGGAUUAGAUACCCCUGU
rnacentral:rRNA from 1 species